GAGACAGCAGUAGCCGCGGUAAAACGAAGGUCCCGAGCGUUGUUCGGAAUCACUGGGCGUAAAGGGAGCGUAGGCGGCGUGGUAAGUCAGAUGUGAAAUCCCGGGGCUCAACCCCGGAACUGCAUCCGAUACUGCCAUGCUAGAGGAUUGGAGAGGUAGCUGGAAUUCUUGGUGUAGCAGUGAAAUGCGUGGAGAUCAAGAGGAACACUCGUGGCGAAAGCGAGCUACUGGACAAUAACUGACGCUGAGGCUCGAAGGCCAGGGUAGCGAAAGGGAUUAGAUACCCCAGUAGUCCCUGUCUCUUAUAA
rnacentral:rRNA from 1 species